AUCCACAGAAGAAUCCAGAGAUGGAUUUGUGCCUUCGGGAACUGUGAGACAGGUGCUGCAUGGCUGUCGUCAGCUCGUGUUGUGAAAUGUUGGGUUAAGUCCCGCAACGAGCGCAACCCUUAUCCUUUGUUGCCAGCGAUUAGGUCGGGAACUCAAAGGAGACUGCCAGUGAUAAACUGGAGGAAGGUGGGGAUGACGUCAAGUCAUCAUGGCCCUUACGACCAGGGCUACACACGUGCUACAAUGGCGCAUACAAAGAGAAGCGACCUCGCGAGAGCAAGCGGACCUCAUAAAGUGCGUCGUAGUCCGGAUUGGAGUCUGCAACUCGACUCCAUGAAGUCGGAAUCGCUAGUAAUCGUGGAUCAGAAUGCCACGGUGAAUACGUUCCCGGGCCUUGUACACACCGCCCGUCACACCAUGGGAGUGGGUUGCAAAAGAAGUAGGUAGCUUAACCUUCGGGAGGGCGCUUACCACUUUGUGAUUCAUGACUGGGGUGAAGUCGUAACAAGGUAACCGUAGGGGAACCUGCGGUUGGAUCACCUCCUUACCUUAAAGAA
rnacentral:rRNA from 1 species